rnacentral:rRNA from 1 species
AUCUCAAAAACAUAGCCCAAAGAUUUAUUUUGGGUAAAUUCUGCCCAGCGUAAUUUAUUAGCGGCCGCAGUACUUUGACUGUGCUAAGGUAGCAUAAUCAAUUGGCUUUUAAUUGUAGUCUGGAAUGAAAGGACUAAUAGGGGUUAGCUGUCUCUAUACUAUUAUUUUGAAUUUAUUUAUUAAGUGAAAAUACUUAUACAAAGAAAAAAGACGAGAAGACCCUUAGAAUUUUAAUAAAAUAUUUAAUAAUUUUUUUUUGUUGGGGCGACAUUGAAACAAUUAAACUUUCAUUAACAAUCAAGACAUUUAGGUUUGAAAGAAUAAAUUACCUUAGGGAUAACAGCAUAAUUAAUUAUUUAGUUUGUGACCUCGAUGUUGGACUAGGAACUAGAAGAUUAACCGUCUAAAUAGAUGUCGU